rnacentral:rRNA from 1 species
CACGUAGGGCGCAAGCGUUGUCCGGAAUUAUUGGGCGUAAAGAGCUCGUAGGCGGUCUGUUGCGUCCGCUGUGAAAACUCGGGGCUUAACCCCGAGCCUGCAGUGGAUACGGGCAGACUAGAGGUAGGUAGGGGAGAAUGGAAUUCCCGGUGUAGCGGUGAAAUGCGCAGAUAUCGGGAGGAACACCGGUGGCGAAGGCGGUUCUCUGGGCCUUACCUGGCGCUGAGGAGCGAAAGCGUGGGGAGCGAACAGG